CAGCUGUUUGUCGAUUGUGUGAGUCAGUGUAGUUAUAAAAACUUGAAUUUCGCGUGAUAAACAUUUAGUUGCAAAUCGUUUGUAAAUGCACAAUUUGUGCUGCGUAAAAUGGCAAGUGAAAUGGUGCAUCGAAUGAGGGUCAUCAAAUGCCCAUCGGACGAGCAAUCGCUGACGAACAAGGCGAUUGUUAACAGCGCUGAUUUCACCGAGGAAGUCAAAUAUGUGGACAUUUCACCGGGUCCCGGACAGCAUUACAAAUUCGCGCUGGAGAAGAUCUCGGAUCUACCACGUAGCCAUGUGGGCUUUUCGUUGGUGCAGCGCAAGUGGGCAACCUUGUCCAUCAACCAGGAGAUCCAUGUGCGACCCUACCGCUUCGAUGCCAGCGCUGACAUUAUCACACUAGUCUCCUUCGAGACGGAUUUCCUGCAAAGGAAAACCAUCACCCAGGAGCCUUACGACUCUGAUGAAAUGGCUAAGGAAUUCAUCAUGCAAUUUUCGGGUAUGGCCUUGACAGUUGGACAAACCCUCGUCUUCCAUUUCAAGGACAAAAAGCUCCUGGGACUCACUGUCAAGACCCUGGAAGCCAUCGAUCCGCGCACUGUGGGCGAUGGCAAAGAGGCAAAGACACGUAAUGUGCGCUUUGGACGCAUUCUGGGCAAUACUGUAGUGCAGUUCGAGAAGGCCGAGAACUCGGUGCUGAAUCUCCAGGGACGCUUCACUUGAUAGCAACUAUAGACAUAUAUACAUACAAAUGUACGUAUGUAAAUGUAACUUAGCAGGCGUCUAAAAGUAUCAGUCCUGGUGGCGUUGAUACGGAAAUCCAUGCGAACAAUUCAAUGGCUGGAGCGCCAAUGCUGCGUGCUGAGGAUUUGGCGGAUGCGGUGACUUACUGCAUCCAGACGCCGCCCCAUGUACAAAUUCAUGAGCUCACUAUGAAACCGGUGGGCGAGCAAUUUUAAAUGCACAAAAAAUAAAAA